CGAUGAUUGGUGAACACCUCACAAGAUACUCCAUAUAAAUAGUGCCUCCAAAUUUUUAAGGCUGAAUUACAGCAGCCAACUCUAAGUCAUGAACAAGGUAGUUCUUCUCAUGGGGCUUCAACUACCGAGAAGCAUAAGCAAUCACUCUACCCUAGUGCAUCAAUACACAGUCAAUCCCGACUCUCGAAGCAUCACAAUAAAUGGUCUAAGAACCCAAAGUUGAUGGCAAGACCAAUACUGGAG
rnacentral:lncRNA from 1 species